rnacentral:tRNA from 1 species
UUAAGUAUAGUAUAAUUUAUUACAAAGUCUUUUCACGCCUUAAAUCCCUUAUUCUCAAGGGUACUUAAU